rnacentral:rRNA from 1 species
GCCUAAAGCGUCCGUAGCCUGUUCUAUAAGUUUCCGGUUAAAUCCAUUAGCUCAACUAAUGGGCUGCCGAAAAUACUGUAGAACUAGGGAGUGGGAGAGGUAGACGGUAUUCGGUAGGAAGGGGUAAAAUCCUUUGAUCUAUUGAGGACCACCUGUGGCGAAGGCGGUCUACCAGAACACGUUCGACGGUGAGGGAUGAAAGCUGGGGGAGCAAACCGGAUUAGAUACCCGGGUAGUCCCAGCUGUAAACUAUGCAAACUCAGUGAUGCAUUGGCUUGUGGCCAGUGCAGUGCCGCAGGGAAGCCGUUAAGUUUGCCGCCUGGGAAGUACGUACGCAAGUAUGAAACUUAAAGGAAUUGGCGGGGGAGCACCACAAGGGGUGAAGCCUGCGGUUCAAUUGGAGUCAACGCCAGAAAUCUUACCCGGAGAGACAGCAGGAUGAAGGUCAAGCUGAAGACUUUACCAGACAAGCUGAGAAGUGGUGCAUGGCCGUCGCCAGCUCGUGCCGUGAGAUGUCCUGUUAAGUCAGGUAACGAGCGAGAUCCUUGCCUCUAGUUGCCACCAUUACUCUCAGGAGUAGUGGGGCGAAUUAGCGGGACUGCCGUAGUUAAUACGGAGGAAGGAGAGGGCCACGGCAGGUCAGUAUGCCCCGAA